rnacentral:rRNA from 1 species
AGUGAACGCUGGCGGUAGGCCUAACACAUGCAAGUCGAACGGCAGCACAGUAAGAGCUUGCUCUUACGGGUGGCGAGUGGCGGACGGGUGAGGAAUACAUCGGAAUCUACUUUUUCGUGGGGGAUAACGUAGGGAAACUUACGCUAAUACCGCAUACGACCUACGGGUGAAAGCAGGGGAUCUUCGGACCUUGCGCGAUUGAAUUAGCCGAUGUCGGAUUAGCUAGUUGGCGGGGUAAAGGCCCACCAAGGCGACGAUCCGUAGCUGGUCUGAGAGGAUGAUCAGCCACACUGGAACUGAGACACGGUCCAGACUCCUACGGGAGGCAGCAGUGGGGAAUCUUGGACAAUGGGCGCAAGCCUGAUCCAGCCAUACCGCGUGAGUGAAGAAGGCCUUCGGGUUGUAAAGCCCUGUUGUUGGGAAAGAACAGCAGCAGGUUAAUACCCCGCUGUUCUGACGGUACCCAAAGAAUAAGCACCGGCUAACUUCGUG